ensembl:processed_transcript Dleu2 deleted in lymphocytic leukemia, 2
GGAGCUUUGCUGAAACUGCACAAAAAAUCGAGCUGGGGGGUUCCCUGGUCCCCGAUGUUGGGGCGGAGAGCGCGGCGCCGAGGGAGGGGGCGGCGCAGACCGGCCUAGGGGACACCUGGUCGAGCGCAGCCGCCGCUCCGCUCGAGCCCUGCGCUCCAGUGCCCCCACUGGCUGGAGAGCUCGCCCAGACCGGGGGUCUUCCUCCGUCGCUGACAGAUUUUAACCAUUAGAAGAAUACCAGUUCUGGAAAACAACCAAAGUUUCUUUGAUUGAAUGCCCAUGUAAUGCAUUGGAAUAUGAUAGGCGAUUAAGGUUUAACAAUGUUAAAAUGAAGAUAUUACUAAAAUGGCCCUCUAAAUAGCCCAACAAUUAUUAUUUUCUUUGUCCUAUGGAUUUGGCUUUGAAAGAUGUGCUGCUCUUAAUAAGCUUUUCAUUCUGCCGGCCAUACUUUUUCUCCCUACUCUGGACGCCUCUAGAUGACUCCAGCUGUGCUCUCCUUCGUAAUCUACACACCCUCCUCAACCAUACCCUGGACCAGUCAUGUCCUCAUCUCAGACACGACUUUUCUGGUCUUCACACUGUGUUAGAAAUAAGGAAGGUGAUAAAGAAUGCCUGUAAGGGUCUUUGUAGUACUGCCUGGCCUGGGACUCACUAUGCUGAAAAAGCUGUCCUGGAAUUCAUGAAGUCUUCUAGCAAGGAAGUUGGACGUGAUUAUUUUUGUCUCCUAAGAGUAAAGAAUAUCUAAAUCAAAUAGCAAUAAGAAUGGAACUGAUCCUGAAGCAAAGUGAUACCUGCGUGUAUCCUAGCCAUUGGGAGGUGAAGGAAGGAAGUGGGAAACAGCAUAUCAAGGUAAAAAACUUGGAACAUUAUUAAGAUAGAAAGGAGGUAUAAGGAGCCCGUGCUCUUGUUCUGGAAGGUGACGGUGAUGUUACUGAAGGAUGAGAAACCACCUGAAACACUGAGCCUUCUCACAAUAUUACAUUUGAACUGAUAGUUCGGCAUUUAUUUUUAAAAUGUUUUGAUUAAAGGUCACUGGCUUUACCAAGCUAAGACUGAAAACUUCUGGAUAGACAGACAAAUUUGGCAAUAAUUCAAAUAAAGCCAAUGAGAGUAGGCAAGUUCACUGAAACUCUGUAGCGAGGACAAUUAGUUUCUUUAAAAAAGG